rnacentral:rRNA from 1 species
CAGUAGCCGCGGUAAUACGAAGGGGGCUAGCGUUGUUCGGAAUUACUGGGCGUAAAGCGCACGUAGGCGGAUAUUUAAGUCAGGGGUGAAAUCCCGCAGCUCAACUGCGGAACUGCCUUUGAUACUGGGUAUCUUGAGUAUGGAAGAGGUUAGUGGAAUUGCGAGUGUAGAGGUGAAAUUCGUAGAUAUUCGCAGGAACACCAGUGGCGAAGGCGGCUAACUGGUCCAUAACUGACGCUGAGGUGCGAAAGCGUGGGGAGCAAACAGGAUUAGAUACCCGUGUAGUCCCUGUCUCUUAUAC